GGUCAUAAAACACCAGUUCUCAUAUGAUCCCCGAAGUUAAGCAACAUCGAUCUUGGUCAGUACUUGAAUGGGUGACAACAUCAGAAUACCAAGUACUGUAAG